AACGAACGCUGGCGGCAGGCUUAACACAUGCAAGUCGAGGGGGCCCUUUCGGGGGUCAGCGGCGGACGGGUGAGUAACGCGUGGGAACGUGCCUCUGGUUCGGAACAACCCUGGGAAACUAGGGCUAAUACCGGAUACGCCCGCGGUCUUUGGACUGUGGGGAAAGGCUUGCUGCCGGAGGAUCGGCCCGCGUCUGAUUAGCUUGUUGGUGGGGUAACGGCCUACCAAGGCGACGAUCAGUAGCUGGUCUGAGAGGAUGAUCAGCCACACUGGGACUGAGACACGGCCCAGACUCCUACGGGAGGCAGCAGUGGGGAAUAUUGGACAAUGGGCGCAAGCUUGAUCCAGCCAUGCCGCGUGAGUGAUGAAGGCCUUAGGGUUGUAAAGCUCUUUUAUCCGGGACGAUAAUGACGGUACCGGAGGAAUAAGCCCCGGCUAACUUCGUGCCAGCAGCCGCAGUAA
rnacentral:rRNA from 1 species